UGGGGAAUAUUGGACAAUGGGCGAAAGCCUGAUCCAGCCAUGCCGCGUGUGUGAAGAAGGUCUUCGGAUUGUAAAGCACUUUAAGUUGGGAGGAAGGGCAGUAAGCGAAUACCUUGCUGUUUUGACGUUACCGACAGAAUAAGCACCGCCUAACUCUGUGCCAGCAGCCGCGGUAAUACAGAGGGUGCAAGCGUUAAUCGGAAUUACUGGGCGUAAAGCGCGCGUAGGUGGUUCGUUAAGUUGAAUGUGAAAGCCCCGGGCUCAACCUGGGAACUGCAUCCAAAACUGGCGAGCUAGAGUAGGGCAGAGGGUGGUGGAAUUUCCUGUGUAGCGGUGAAAUGCGUAGAUAUAGGAAGGAACACCAGUGGCGAAGGCGACCACCUGGGCUCAUACUGACACUGAGGUGCGAAAGCGUGGGGAGCAAACAGG
rnacentral:rRNA from 1 species